rnacentral:rRNA from 1 species
UCNNNNNNNNNNNNNNNNNNNNGACGAAAAAUGAAUACCAAGUCUCAAGAGUGAACACGUAAUUCAUUACGAAGUUUAAUUCAUUGAGCAUCAAACUUUUAAAUUGAAGAGUUUGAUCAUGGCUCAGAUUGAACGCUGGCGGCAGGCCUAACACAUGCAAGUCGAACGGUAACAGGAAGCAGCUUGCUGCUUUGCUGACGAGUGGCGGACGGGUGAGUAAUGUCUGGGAAACUGCCUGAUGGAGGGGGAUAACUACUGGAAACGGUGGCUAAUACCGCAUAACGUCGCAAGACCAAAGAGGGGGACCUUCGGGCCUCUUGCCAUCAGAUGUGCCCAGAUGGGAUUAGCUUGUUGGUGAGGUAACGGCUCACCAAGGCGACGAUCCCUAGCUGGUCUGAGAGGAUGACCAGCCACACUGGAACUGAGACACGGUCCAGACUCCUACGGGAGGCAGCAGUGGGGAAUAUUGCACAAUGGGCGCAAGCCUGAUGCAGCCAUGCCGCGUGUAUGAAGAAGGCCUUCGGGUUGUAAAGUACUUUCAGCGGGGAGGAAGGUGUUGUGGUUAAUAACCGCAGCAAUUGACGUUACCCGCAGAAGAAGCACCGGCUAACUCCGUGCCAGCAGCCGCGGUAAUACGGAGGGUGCAAGCGUUAAUCGGAAUUACUGGGCGUAAAGCGCACGCAGGCGGUCUGUCAAGUCGGAUGUGAAAUCCCCGGGCUCAACCUGGGAACUGCAUUCGAAACUGGCAGGCUUGAGUCUUGUAGAGGGGGGNNNNNNNNNNNNNNNNNNNNGUAGCGGUGAAAUGCGUAGAGAUCUGGAGGAAUACCGGUGGCGAAGGCGGCCCCCUGGACAAAGACUGACGCUCAGGUGCGAAAGCGUGGGGAGCAAACAGGAUUAGAUACCCUGGUAGUCCACGCCGUAAACGAUGUCUACUUGGAGGUUGUGCCCUUGAGGCGUGGCUUCCGGAGCUAACGCGUUAAGUAGACCGCCUGGGGAGUACGGCCGCAAGGUUAAAACUCAAAUGAAUUGACGGGGGCCCGCACAAGCGGUGGAGCAUGUGGUUUAAUUCGAUGCAACGCGAAGAACCUUACCUGGUCUUGACAUCCACGGAAGUUUUCAGAGAUGAGAAUGUGCCUUCGGGAACCGUGAGACAGGUGCUGCAUGGCUGUCGUCAGCUCGUGUUGUGAAAUGUUGGGUUAAGUCCCGCAACGAGCGCAACCCUUAUCCUUUGUUGCCAGCGGUCCGGCCGGGAACUCAAAGGAGACUGCCAGUGAUAAACUGGAGGAAGGUGGGGAUGACGUCAAGUCAUCAUGGCCCUUACGACCAGGGCUACACACGUGCUACAAUGGCGCAUACAAAGAGAAGCGACCUCGCGAGAGCAAGCGGACCUCAUAAAGUGCGUCGUAGUCCGGAUUGGAGUCUGCAACUCGACUCCAUGAAGUCGGAAUCGCUAGUAAUCGUGGAUCAGAAUGCCACGGUGAAUACGUUCCCGGGCCUUGUACACACCGCCCGUCACACCAUGGGAGUGGGUUGCAAAAGAAGUAGGUAGCUUAACCUUCGGGAGGGCGCUUACCACUUUGUGAUUCAUGACUGGGGUGAAGUCGUAACAAGGUAACCGUAGGGGAACCUGCGGUUGGAUCACCUCCUUACCUUAAAGAAGCGUACUUUGCAGUGCUCACACAGAUUGUCUGAUGAAAA